UACGUAGGGGGCUAGCGUUGUCCGGAUUUAUUGGGCGUAAAGAGCGUGUAGGCGGCCAGGUAGGUCUGCUGUGAAAACUCGAGGCUCAACCUCGAGACGUCGGCGGAAACCAUCUGGCUAGAGUCCGGAAGAGGAGAGUGGAAUUCCUGGUGUAGCGGUGAAAUGCGCAGAUAUCAGGAAGAACACCCGUGGCGAAGGCGGCGCUCUGGGACGGUACUGACGCUGAGGCACGAAGGUCAGGGGAGCAAACGGG
rnacentral:rRNA from 1 species